rnacentral:rRNA from 1 species
AUUGAACGCUGGCGGCAUGCCUAACACAUGCAAGUCGAACGAGUGGCGGACGGGUGAGUCAUGUCUGGGAAACUGCUUGAUGGAUGGGGAUAACUACUGGAAACGGUAGCUAAUACCGCAUACCUUCAGAUGUUCGCAGAUGGGAUUAGCUUGUUGGUGGGGUAACGGCUCACCAAGGCGACGAUCCCUAGCUGGUCUGAGAGGAUGACCGGCCACACUGGAACUGAGACACGGUCCAGACUCCUACGGGAGGCAGCAGUGGGGAAUAUUGCACAAUGGGAGAAAGCCUGAUGCAGCCAUGCCGCGUGUAUGAAGAAGGCCUUCGGGUUGUAAAGUACUGUCAGCGGGGAAGCGUUACCCGCAGAAGAAGCACCGGCUAACUCCGUGCCAGCCGCCGCGGUAAUUC